UGAAUACGAGAUGCUACGGCGUCGAAGCAGUCUAUGUCAUACUUCCAAGAAAAGCUUGCACUGUCAUAAACAAAUAAUGCCUGUACCAUAACCGACACAGGUGGGUAGGUAGAGUAUACUAAGGGGCGCGAGAUAACUCUCUCUAAGGAACUCGGCAAAAUGACUCCGUAACUUCGGGAGAAGGAGUGCCUUAUUUAUAAGGUUGCAAUAACAAGAUCCAAGCAACUGUUUACCAAAAACACAGGUCUCCGCUAAGUCGUAAGACGAUGUAUGGGGGCUGACGCCUGCCCAGUGCCAGAAGGUUAAAGAAGUUGGUUAGCAUCCGCGAAGCUGAUAACUGAAGCCCUGGUGAACGGCGGCCGUAACAAUAACGGUCCUAAGGUAGCGAAAUUCCUUGUCGGGUAAGUUCCGACCCGCACGAAAGGCGUAAUGAUUUGGAUACUGUCUCGGAGAGGGGCUCGGUGAAAUAGACUUGUCUGUGAAGAUGCGGACUACCUGCACCAGGACAGAAAGACCCUAUGAAGCUUUACUGUAACCUGAAAUUGAAAUUGGACUUUACUUGUGCAGUAUAGGUGGGAGGCGUUGAGAAUAUUCUUGCGGGAUUAUUGGAGCCAUCAGUGAGAUACCACUCUUGUAAUGUUAGAUUUCUAACUUUGUAUCAUUAUCUGGUCAAAGAACAGUUUCAGGCGGGCAGUUUGACUGGGGCGGUCGCCUCCUAAACGGUAACGGAGGCGCACAAAGGUUUCCUCUGAACGGGUAGAAAUCGUAUCUAGAGUGUAAAGGCAUAAGGAAGCUUGACUGUGAGACCUACAAGUCGAGCAGGGACGAAAGUCGGUCUUAGUGAUCUGACGGUGCUGAGUGGAAAGGCCGUCACUCAACGGAUAAAAGUUACUCUAGGAUAACAGGCUGAUCUCCCCCAAGAGUUCACAUCGACGGGGAGGUUUGGCACCUCGAUGUCGGCUCAUCGCAUCCUGGGGCGGUAGUACGUCCCAAGGGUUGGGCUGUUCGCCCAUGAAAGCGGUACGCGAGCUGGGUUCAGAACGUCGUGAGACAGUUCGGUCCAUAUCCGGUGUAGGCGUUAGAAUAUUGAGAGGAGCCUUCUUUAGUACGAGAGGACCGAGAAGGACAUACCUCUGGUGUACCAGUUAUCGUGCCAACGGUAAACGCUGGGUAGCUAUGUGUGGAGUGGAUAACCGCUGAAAGCAUCUAAGUGGGAAGCCCACCUCAAGAUAAGUAUUCUCAU
rnacentral:rRNA from 1 species